AGAACGAACGCUGGCGGCAUGCCUAACACAUGCAAGUCGAACGCUUCCGGGGCUUCGGUCGCGGAGGAGUGGCGCACGGGUGAGUAGCGCGUGGGAACCUGCCCUGUUGUGGGGGAUAACCGAGGGAAACUUCGGCUAAUACCGCAUACGCCCCGGGACUUGGUCUUCGGAUUAGGUCUGGGGGGAAAGAUUGAUCGCAGCAGGAGGGGCCCGCGUCGGAUUAGCUGGUUGGUGGGGUAACGGCUCACCAAGGCGAUGAUCCGUAGCUGGUCUGAGAGGAUGAUCAGCCACACUGGGACUGAGACACGGCCCAGACUCCUACGGGAGGCAGCAGUGGGGAAUAUUGGACAAUGGGGGCAACCCUGAUCCAGCAAUGCCGCGUGAGUGAUGAAGGCCUUAGGGUUGUAAAGCUCUUUCGCCCGCGACGAUGAUGACGGUAGCGGGAGAAGAAGCCCGGCUAACUUCGCGUCAGCAGCCGCGGU
rnacentral:rRNA from 1 species